GGUUAAGCGACUAAGCGUACACGGUGGAUGCCCUGGCAGUCAGAGGCGAUGAAGGACGUGCUAAUCUGCGAUAAGCGUCGGUAAGGUGAUAUGAACCGUUAUAACCGGCGAUUUCCGAAUGGGGAAACCCAGUGUGUUUCGACACACUAUCAUUAACUGAAUCCAUAGGUUAAUGAGGCGAACCGGGGGAACUGAAACAUCUAAGUACCCCGAGGAAAAGAAAUCAACCGAGAUUCCCCCAGUAGCGGCGAGCGAACGGGGAGGAGCCCAGAGUCUGAAUCAGUGUGUGUGUUAGUGGAAGCGUCUGGAAAGGCGCGCGAUACAGGGUGACAGCCCCGUACACAAAAAUGCACAUAUUGUGAGCUCGAUGAGUAGGGCGGGACACGUGGUAUCCUGUCUGAAUAUGGGGGGACCAUCCUCCAAGGCUAAAUACUCCUGACUGACCGAUAGUGAACCAGUACCGUGAGGGAAAGGCGAAAAGAACCCCGGCGAGGGGAGUGAAAAAGAACCUGAAACCGUGUACGUACAAGCAGUGGGAGCACGCUUAGGCGUGUGACUGCGUACCUUUUGUAUAAUGGGUCAGCGACUUAUAUUCUGUAGCAAGGUUAACCGAAUAGGGGAGCCGAAGGGAAACCGAGUCUUAACUGGGCGUUAAGUUGCAGGGUAUAGACCCGAAACCCGGUGAUCUAGCCAUGGGCAGGUUGAAGGUUGGGUAACACUAACUGGAGGACCGAACCGACUAAUGUUGAAAAAUUAGCGGAUGACUUGUGGCUGGGGGUGAAAGGCCAAUCAAACCGGGAGAUAGCUGGUUCUCCCCGAAAGCUAUUUAGGUAGCGCCUCGUGAAUUCAUCUCCGGGGGUAGAGCACUGUUUCGGCAAGGGGGUCAUCCCGACUUACCAACCCGAUGCAAACUGCGAAUACCGGAGAAUGUUAUCACGGGAGACACACGGCGGGUGCUAACGUCCGUCGUGAAGAGGGAAACAACCCAGACCGCCAGCUAAGGUCCCAAAGUCAUGGUUAAGUGGGAAACGAUGUGGGAAGGCCCAGACAGCCAGGAUGUUGGCUUAGAAGCAGCCAUCAUUUAAAGAAAGCGUAAUAGCUCACUGGUCGAGUCGGCCUGCGCGGAAGAUGUAACGGGGCUAAACCAUGCACCGAAGCUGCGGCAGCGACGCUUAUGCGUUGUUGGGUAGGGGAGCGUUCUGUAAGCCUGUGAAGGUGUGCUGUGAGGCAUGCUGGAGGUAUCAGAAGUGCGAAUGCUGACAUAAGUAACGAUAAAGCGGGUGAAAAGCCCGCUCGCCGGAAGACCAAGGGUUCCUGUCCAACGUUAAUCGGGGCAGGGUGAGUCGACCCCUAAGGCGAGGCCGAAAGGCGUAGUCGAUGGGAAACAGGUUAAUAUUCCUGUACUUGGUGUUACUGCGAAGGGGGGACGGAGAAGGCUAUGUUGGCCGGGCGACGGUUGUCCCGGUUUAAGCGUGUAGGCUGGUUUUCCAGGCAAAUCCGGAAAAUCAAGGCUGAGGCGUGAUGACGAGGCACUACGGUGCUGAAGCAACAAAUGCCCUGCUUCCAGGAAAAGCCUCUAAGCAUCAGGUAACAUCAAAUCGUACCCCAAACCGACACAGGUGGUCAGGUAGAGAAUACCAAGGCGCUUGAGAGAACUCGGGUGAAGGAACUAGGCAAAAUGGUGCCGUAACUUCGGGAGAAGGCACGCUGAUAUGUAGGUGAAGUCCCUUGCGGAUGGAGCUGAAAUCAGUCGAAGAUACCAGCUGGCUGCAACUGUUUAUUAAAAACACAGCACUGUGCAAACACGAAAGUGGACGUAUACGGUGUGACGCCUGCCCGGUGCCGGAAGGUUAAUUGAUGGGGUCAGCGCAAGCGAAGCUCUUGAUCGAAGCCCCGGUAAACGGCGGCCGUAACUAUAACGGUCCUAAGGUAGCGAAAUUCCUUGUCGGGUAAGUUCCGACCUGCACGAAUGGCGUAAUGAUGGCCAGGCUGUCUCCACCCGAGACUCAGUGAAAUUGAACUCGCUGUGAAGAUGCAGUGUACCCGCGGCAAGACGGAAAGACCCCGUGAACCUUUACUAUAGCUUGACACUGAACAUUGAGCCUUGAUGUGUAGGAUAGGUGGGAGGCUUUGAAGUGUGGACGCCAGUCUGCAUGGAGCCGACCUUGAAAUACCACCCUUUAAUGUUUGAUGUUCUAACGUGGACCCGUGAUCCGGGUUGCGGACAGUGUCUGGUGGGUAGUUUGACUGGGGCGGUCUCCUCCUAAAGAGUAACGGAGGAGCACGAAGGUUGGCUAAUCCUGGUCGGACAUCAGGAGGUUAGUGCAAUGGCAUAAGCCAGCUUGACUGCGAGCGUGACGGCGCGAGCAGGUGCGAAAGCAGGUCAUAGUGAUCCGGUGGUUCUGAAUGGAAGGGCCAUCGCUCAACGGAUAAAAGGUACUCCGGGGAUAACAGGCUGAUACCGCCCAAGAGUUCAUAUCGACGGCGGUGUUUGGCACCUCGAUGUCGGCUCAUCACAUCCUGGGGCUGAAGUAGGUCCCAAGGGUAUGGCUGUUCGCCAUUUAAAGUGGUACGCGAGCUGGGUUUAGAACGUCGUGAGACAGUUCGGUCCCUAUCUGCCGUGGGCGCUGGAGAACUGAGGGGGGCUGCUCCUAGUACGAGAGGACCGGAGUGGACGCAUCACUGGUGUUCGGGUUGUCAUGCCAAUGGCACUGCCCGGUAGCUAAAUGCGGAAGAGAUAAGUGCUGAAAGCAUCUAAGCACGAAACUUGCCCCGAGAUGAGUUCUCCCUGACUCCUUGAGAGUCCUGAAGGAACGUUGAAGACGACGACGUUGAUAGGCCGGGUGUGUAAGCGCAGCGAUGCGUUGAGCUAACCGGUACUAAUGAACCGUGAGGCUUAACCUU
rnacentral:rRNA from 1 species